rnacentral:misc_RNA from 1 species
AACGCACAUUGCGCUCGCCAGUAUUCUGGCGAGCAUGCCUGUUCGAGCGUCAUUUCAACCAUCAAGCUCUGCUUGCGUUGGGGAUCCGCGGCUGCCCGCGGUCCCUCAAAAACAGUGGCGGGCUCGCUAGUCACACCGAGCGUAGUAACUCUACAUCGCUAUGGUCGUGCGGCGGGUUCUUGCCGUAAAACCCCCCCAAUUUCUAAGGUUGACCUCGGAUCAGGUAGGAAUACCCGCUGAACUUAA